ensembl:lncRNA
AGUGCUGGGUCAGCGGCGGAGCUGGCAAGGAGCUUCCCUCGCCCACAGGUCACUGAGCAAAGUUGUUUUGUGUCCAUGCAUCGCAGCUCCCAUCCUGGGACAUAAUAAGGGGAGGAUUUGUAGGCAUUCCCAGGAAGGAAUGAAAAACAAACACUUGGAUUUUGCGCUGUGACCUCCCUUCAAUGUCCAGGAAGAGAAUGACUUAAAUGUCAACUAAAGCAGGCCUUCACACAGGAGGAAGAGAGAAACUCCCUUUUAGAUACUGAAAGGCCACUCUCAGGUCUCCUCGGAGCCUUCUCCAGGCUGAACAGCCCCAGCUCUCUCAGCCUGUCCUUGCAGGGAGAUGUUCUAUCUCUUGGAUCAUUUUUGUGGCCCUCUGAAUGCACUCCAACAAGUCCAUGUCUCUCCUCUACCAAGGACUCCACAAAAGCGGUGUUCUUCGUUGCUUUAUUUUCAACAAGGUACAAGCCGCCAGCUGUUAUUUAUCGGCUUGUGAAAGGAAAAACUCCACAUGGCCAUGUUUUAAAAUCCACCUCUUUAUGAACAGAUUGUGAUUUCACAUGCUGAAUAUGUUUUAUACAUGUCGUGCUUUUAGAGAUGUUGAGUGGACCUGAAGCACAGGUGAAAUGCUGAGGUGAUGUACAACAGCUCAGACUCGAUUUACAUGGCUGCAGCUCCAUGUAGUGAGGGUUGGACGUCUUGACGUGGUUGAUUUUUGAGGGAUUUUUCUGUACUGAUGCUAGUUUAAUUGAACUUAAGAUAAUGGUUGCUGGGGGCUGAGAGUGGAAGAGGCUAUUCUUUCAAUAAUUAUCAGAUCUCAUGUCAAGGAAACUGCUUUGUGUGAAAAGGAACAAGGCAGAACUAGGCUAUUACAGACUUGUGCACUCUACUAUCUAUUUUGGGCCAAGAUCCAAAAGCAUUUCAUGGUUUAAAACAGUGUCCAGAGAUUUCAGCUGGGAUAGAAGCCCAUUUCUCUGCAUUGAACAAGCAUAGAAGAAAUGUUCUGACACCAAAGACUUUGCAGUCUUGCUGAAACGACAGAAUGGGGAUGGGAUGGAAGGAUGAAAGCAACUGGAACUGAAGCAGAGCUUAUACAGACGUACAAGGGCCUCUCUGAAAAUGUCUCCUAAUCUAUUGUGUUGACCCACAAUGUCAGAGGUGGAUAUUGGUGGUAUGGCAUUAGAGAAUGAACCUUCCUAACAGCAUUCCAUUACAUUUUGUUGCUGUGUGACAGCUGGCAGCAGAGGAUCAGUCUGACAAAAUGGCAUCUGACAUGGAAGCAUGUAUGAAGCAAAGGUAUCUCACUGAAUUCCUCCAUGUGAAAAAAAAUUGCAUCCCUUGACAUUCAUCGACUCUUGCUGAAUGUUUAUGAAGACCAAACAGUGGCUGUGAGCACAGUGAAGUGAUGGGUGGUGCAUUUCAGCAGCAGUGACAGUGACAGUGGAUCACCUCUGCUGGUGCAGAUUUUUAGGAGAGUGGCAUGCAGGCUCUUGUUCAUCACUCGUGAAAAUUCAUAGCUAAUGGUAGCGACUAUGUUGGAAAACAGUGUUUUGUACCUGAGAAUUUGCUUUAUCAAAUAGUGUUAUUGUGCUCUUUGUAUCUGUUUUUGUUUCUAUGGAAAUAAAUAGGAGGUGUUACUU